AGAAUGAACGCUGGCGGCAUGCCUAACACAUGCAAGUCGAACGAAACCUUCGGGUUUAGUGGCGCACGGGUGCGUAACGCGUGGGAAUCUGCCCCUUGGUUCGGAAUAACAGCGAGAAAUUGCUGCUAAUACCGGAUGAUGACGUAAGUCCAAAGAUUUAUCGCCGAGGGAUGAGCCCGCGUAGGAUUAGCUAGUUGGUGUGGUAAAGGCGCACCAAGGCGACGAUCCUUAGCUGGUCUGAGAGGAUGAUCAGCCACACUGGGACUGAGACACGGCCCAGACUCCUACGGGAGGCAGCAGUGGGGAAUAUUGGACAAUGGGCGAAAGCCUGAUCCAGCAAUGCCGCGUGAGUGAUGAAGGCCUUAGGGUUGUAAAGCUCGUUUACCCGGGAUGAUAAUGACAGUACCGGGAGAAUAAGCUCCGGCUAACUCCGCGCCAGCAGCCGC
rnacentral:rRNA from 1 species